rnacentral:lncRNA from 1 species
GCAGCAGAAAGCCAGUGGGAGAAACUGGCCCCGCAGGUCGAGGAGGGCUCGGCCAGCUGUGGGAAAUGCUCUGGUUGACCUCGGAUUUCUGCGCACUAAGCUGAGCCGCGACCCCGGCUUUGAGCCGAGGCAUCCCCGGGCUGGGCGACCGUGGGCGUGGGCGCUCCGGCUGCUGCGGCGGUUCCUGCUGUGCUCAGCUGGGUCACGACUGGAACUGGCGCCCUCCGGAAGUGAAGGAGGUGCCCCGCAGAGGAGGCGGUAGCCGUGGUCCCUGUAAACCAGGCCUUGCUGACAAAUGUCAGACGCCAAGAACAGAAGAACGGAGAGCUUCAGCCAAAUGGAGGAACUGCUGGAGCGGCUGAGGGUGAAGCUGCCCAAACUCCUCAAAGUGGAGCAGCAAAGCAAACACCAGAGAAGGACAAGAAAAAUGAAAGUCAAAGAAAAUUAGCAGAAACCAAAGGCAGACGCUAACGCAGUGCAAAACAGUUCACAUCAUGAUAGAAAGAGUUGAUGAGUCUCGGAAACUAAUCUUAGUGACAGAACGAAAGGACAGCAGUGAACAUGGUAAGGUGCUGACGAUUCUGGUCCACUGGAUCCCACCAUCCCUAGGACAGUAAAUACCAUCACAGUCACCACACAGUGAGUUACAACUGCACCAUUUCCUGUUUAUUCCUAAAUGAAUAAAGGUGAUUCUCAACACAAGUGCAAAUAAAA